rnacentral:rRNA from 1 species
AGCGAACGCUGGCGGCAGGCCUAAUACAUGCAAGUCGAGCGCCCCUUCGGGGGAGGCGGCGGACGGGUGAGUAACGCGUGGGAACGUGCCCUUUGGUACGGAACAACUGAGGGAAACUUCAGCUAAUACCGUAUGUGCCCUUCGGGGUAAAGGAUUUAUCGCCAUUGGAGCGGCCCGCGUUGGAUUAGGUAGUUGGUGAGGUAAAGGCUCACCAAGCCUACGAUCCAUAGCUGGUCUGAGAGGAUGAUCAGCCACACUGGGAC